AGUGAACGCUGGCGGCGUGCCUAAUACAUGCAAGUCGAACGAUGAAGCUUCUAGCUUGCUAGAAGUGGAUUAGUGGCGCACGGGUGAGUAAUGCAUAGGUUAUGUGCCCUUUAGUCUGGGAUAGCCACUGGAAACGGUGAUUAAUACUGGAUACUUCGCUAAAGGAUCAGCCUAUGUCCUAUCAGCUUGUUGGUGAGGUAAUGGCUCACCAAGGCUAUGACGGGUAUCCGGCCUGAGAGGGUGAUCGGACACACUGGAACUGAGACACGGUCCAGACUCCUACGGGAGGCAGCAGUAGGGAAUAUUGCUCAAUGGGGGAAACCCUGAAGCAGCAACGCCGCGUGGAGGAUGAAGGUUUUAGGAUUGUAAACUCCUUUUGUAAGAGAAGAUUAUGACGGUAUCUUACGAAUAAGCACCGGCUAACUCCGUGCCAGCAGCCGCGGUAAUACGGAGGGUGCAAGCGUUACUCGGAAUCACUGGGCGUAAAGAGCGCGUAGGCGGGAGAGUAAGUCAGAUGUGAAAUCCUGUAGCUUAACUACAGAACUGCAUUUGAAACUACUUUUCUAGAGUAUGGGAGAGGUAGGUGGAAUUCUUGGUGUAGGGGUAAAAUCCGUAGAGAUCAAGAGGAAUACUCAUUGCGAAGGCGACCUGCUGGAACAUUACUGACGCUGAUGCGCGAAAGCGUGGGGAGCAAACAGGAUUAGAUACCCUGGUAGUCCACGCCCUAAACGAUGAAUGCUAGUUGUUGCCCUGCUUGUCAGGGCAGUAAUGCAGCUAACGCAUUAAGCAUUCCGCCUGGGGAGUACGGUCGCAAGAUUAAAACUCAAAGGAAUAGACGGGGACCCGCACAAGCGGUGGAGCAUGUGGUUUAAUUCGAGGAUACGCGAAGAACCUUACCUAGGCUUGACAUUGAUAGAAUCUACUAGAGAUAGUGGAGUGCCCUUCGGGGAGCUUGAAAACAGGUGCUGCACGGCUGUCGUCAGCUCGUGUCGUGAGAUGUUGGGUUAAGUCCCGCAACGAGCGCAACCCUCGUCCUUAGUUGCUAGCAGUUCGGCUGAGCACUCUAAGGAGACUGCCUUCGUAAGGAGGAGGAAGGUGAGGACGACGUCAAGUCAUCAUGGCCCUUACGCCUAGGGCUACACACGUGCUACAAUGGGACAUACAAAAAGAUGCAAUACCGCGAGGUGGAGCAAAUCUCUAAAAUGUCUCUCAGUUCGGAUUGUAGUCUGCAACUCGACUACAUAAAGCUGGAAUCGCUAGUAAUCGUGAAUCAGCAAUGUCACGGUGAAUACGUUCCCGGGUCUUGUACUCACCGCCCGUCACACCAUGGGAGUUGUAUUCGCCUUAAGUCGGGAUACUAAAUUGGUUACCGCCCACGGCGGAUGCAGCGACUGGGGUG
rnacentral:rRNA from 3 species